rfam:Gorilla gorilla gorilla genomic chromosome, chrX, whole genome shotgun sequence
AGGUUUCCUGCUUCAACUGUGCUUGGACGGAACCC